rnacentral:piRNA from 1 species
AUAAAGGCGAGCCUAUCAGA